rnacentral:rRNA from 1 species
UACAGAGGUCUCAAGCGUUUGUUCGGAUUCAUUGGGCGUAAAGGGGUGCGUAGGCGGCGCGGUAAGUCGGGUGUGAAAUCUCGGGGCUUAACUCCGAAACUGCAUUCGAUACUGCCGUGCUUGAGGACUGGAGAGGAGACUGGAAUUUACGGUGUAGCGGUGAAAUGCGUAGAUAUCGUAAGGAAGACCAGUGGCGAAGGCGGGUCUCUGGACAGUUCCUGACGCUGAGGCACGAAGGCCAGGGGAGCAAACGGG